AUGUUGCUCCUGGUAUUUAUGAUAUUUUCUCUCCUAAAAGAGAACGCUGCUGAUGAUGUCAUAAAACCAGUCUUCACAGAGAAGCAGGUUUUGGCAGGAAAAGAUGUUACACUGAUCUGCAACUACACUGGCACAGUUCGCAGUUUACAGUGGUACCGUCAGUAUCCCGGAUCCAAACCUGAGCACCUCAUUAUGUUCUUUGAAACCAGCCCUAAAUCAGAGCUCGCUCUCCGUCUGACCGCUGCGGCUGAUAAAGCAGCCAAAAGUAUUAAUUUGACCAUCUUUUCUACAGAAGUGAUAGACUCUGCCAUGUACUACUGUGCCCUGCAGCCCACAGUGACAGGAAGCACAACUUCACUGUGCAAAAACUGA